rnacentral:rRNA from 1 species
CGAUCUCAAUUCAGUAAGACUACCCGCUGAACCUAAGCAUAUCAAUAAGCGAGGAAAAA